ACUGAUCACAUAGACCCGCAGCACUCAGCCAGGCCCCUCACCCCGGCUCUGCUCUCAAGCCGGGCUUGGCUCCCCGCCUGCCCAAAUGCGUUCAACAUCCCCCGAAAGGCCAUUUCCCUUCCAGUCUUCCCGGAGAGAUGUCAGGGUGACGAGGGAGCUUAUCUUUCGGUGGCUCCGAAACAGCCACGAAGCCGAGCUCUACCAGUAACAAAAAUGGCGUCAUUCCGCCAGCGCCAGGACCUCUGUCGCUGGCCGUGGUCUCGCACUGCUUCUGGAGGCUCCCAUUCCAGCCAGAGGAGAGACCUAACACCCUACAUGACUGCAUGGGAGAUACGGCCUAUAAGAAGAUGAUUAAGGUUAAUGAUGUCAGAAGGUGGAACCCUGAUUGGAGACAAGUGUAAGAGACCCAAGAGAUUCUCUCUCCGCCAUGUGAUGACACAGCAUGA
rnacentral:lncRNA from 1 species